rnacentral:tRNA from 1 species
GCGCCUGUAGCUCAGCUGGACAGAGCGGCUGGCUUCUACCCAGAUGGUCGGGGGUUCGAAUCCUCCCAGGCGCGCCA